rnacentral:rRNA from 1 species
UACAUGGGGUGCAAACGUUGCUCGGAAUUAUUGGGCGUAAAGCGCACGUAGGCGGUUCGUUAAGUCGGAUGUGAAGCCCUCGGCUCAACUGAGGAAGUGCACCCGAAACUGGCGAGCUUGAGUACGAAAGAGGAUCGCGGAAUUCCCGGUGUAGAGGUGAAAUUCGUAGAUAUCGGGAGGAACACCGGUGGCGAAGGCGGCGAUCUGGGUCGAUACUGACGCUGAGGUGCGAAAGCGUGGGGAGCGAACCGG